rnacentral:rRNA from 1 species
CGUGAUUUUGAUGAAAGGGAAACGAUUGAAGUCAGUCGUACCGACGAGAAAUCAACUUAUCAUGUGCGAACUUGUGGGCGUGCGUGAGUUUCGGCCUCGCUGUUUGCAUGUUUGUGCGUCUUGGGUGCACUUUUUCGUAUGGUAGGCCAACGUCAGUUUCGAUCAUCAUAAAAUGACCGGCGGAAUGUAGCUUCGUCCUCGGUUGAAGUGUUAUAGCCUCUGGUAGAUGUGGUGAUGGGGACUGAGGAUUG